rnacentral:rRNA from 1 species
UACGUAGGGGGCUAGCGUUGUCCGGAAUCAUUGGGCGUAAAGCGCGCGUAGGCGGCCCGGUAAGUCCGCUGUAAAAGUCAGGGGCUCAACCCUUGAACGCCGGUGGAUACUGCCGGGCUAGAGUCCGGAAGAGGCGAGUGGAAUUCCUGGUGUAGCGGUGGAAUGCGCAGAUAUCAGGAGGAACACCAAUAGCGAAGGCAGCUCGCUGGGACGGUACUGACGCUCAGGCGCGAAAGCGUGGGGAGCGAACAGG